rnacentral:rRNA from 1 species
ACAUGCCUACAACAUAGUGUUAAUGCAUCAGAUCCGAUUAAACUCCACAGUUAAGUGCACUCGGGAUAGAUUAGUACUCGGAUGGGUUACCUCCCAAGAAGUCCUAGUGUUUUACAUGCC